AUUAUUUUAAGAUUAUUUUUUAUUGUUGAAAAAAUUAAAAAUAAAUUGUUUUUAACAAAAAUUAAAAUUUAUAAUAUUUCAUUUUUUGGUUUUUUGUUUUAAAUUAAAAUAAUAAAUAUGGGGGAAAAAAAAAUUUUGUUAUAAAUUAUAUUAGUUUAUUUUAAUUAAAAAUAUUUUUUAUUAAAUUUGUUUUUUUUAUUUUUUUAUAAAAAAUAUUAAUUUAAUUAUUAUUAUUGAGUUUAAUUUAGUUAUUUUUAAAAAAAUUUUGUAUAAAAUAAAUUUGAUAAUAAAUGUUUUUUAAAUUCUUUGGGGGUUUAGUUUAUGAUUUUUUGUUUCUGCUCAUUGUUAAAUAAAAGCACUUUUAGCGUGAUUGGUCAAA
rnacentral:rRNA from 1 species